GCUUGGUUGGCUCAGUUGGUAGAGCGUUGGUCUCAUAUCCUCCGUGCAUAUGACGGUUUCAAUUUAAUGAAGCUGAUAUCCAAAGGUCGUGAGUUCGAGCCUCACACCGAGCA